UACGUAGGGUGCAAGCGUUGUCCGGAAUUAUUGGGCGUAAAGAGCUCGUAGGCGGUUUGUCGCGUCUGCUGUGAAAUCCCGAGGCUCAACCUCGGGCCUGCAGUGGGUACGGGCAGACUAGAGUGCGGUAGGGGAGAUUGGAACUCCUGGUGUAGCGGUGGAAUGCGCAGAUAUCAGGAAGAACACCGGUGGCGAAGGCAGAUCUCUGGGCCGUAACUGACGCUGAGGAGCGAAAGCAUGGGGAGCGAACAGG
rnacentral:rRNA from 1 species